GACGAACGCUGGCGGCGUGCCUAAUACAUGCAAGUCGAACGCAGUGGGGACGGGUGCGUAACACGUGGGUAACCUCCCAUCAGAGGAGAUAACACUUGGAAACAGGUGCUAAACCGAUACUGAUGGAUGGACCCGCGGUGCAUUAGCUAGUGGGGGGGGUAAAGGCUAACCAAGGCCACGAUGCAUAGCCGGCCUGAGAGGGUGACCGGCCACACUGGAACUGAGACACGGCCCAGACUCCUACGGGAGGCAGCAGUGGGGAAUCUUCGGCAAUGGGCGAAAGUCUGACCGAGCAACGCCGCGUGUGUGAAGAAGGUUUUCGGAUCGUAAAGCUCUGUUGUUGGAGAAGCGGUAUCUAACCAGAAAGCCACGGCUAACUACGUGCCAGCAGCCGCGGUAAUUC
rnacentral:rRNA from 1 species